rnacentral:rRNA from 1 species
UACGGGGGAUCCAAGCGUUAUCCGGAAUUACUGGGCGUAAAGAGUUGCGUAGGCGGCUGUGUUAGCGAGUAGUGAAAUGACGAGGCUCAACCUUGUGUCCAUUACUCGAACUGCACGGCUAGAGCAUGAGAGAGGUAGCUGGAAUUCCCUGUGUAGGAGUGAAAUCCGUAGAUAUAGGGAGGAACACCGAUGGCGUAGGCAGGCUACUGGCUCAUUGCUGACGCUCAGGCACGAAAGCGUGGGGAGCGACCGGG